GCUAAGGAGUGGGCAGAGGCUGCGGGAAUACGUGUGGGGGGGGCGUUGGCCGGAAUGAGUGGUGGUGAAGGGGGUGUAGGCGGUUCAAUAAGUCUGGUGUGAAAGUCCAGGGCUCAACCCUGGGAGGCCGGUGGAUACUGUUGAACUCGAGUCCGGAAGAGGCAAGUGGAAUUCCUGGUGUAGCGGUGAAAUGCGCAGAUAUCAGGAGGAACACCAAUGGCGAAGGCAGCUUGCUGGGACGUGACUGACGCUGAGACGCGAAAGCGUGGGGAGCAAACAGGAUUAGAUACCCGAGUAGUC
rnacentral:rRNA from 1 species